rnacentral:rRNA from 1 species
GACGAACGCUGGCGGCGUGCUUAACACAUGCAAGUCGUACGAUGACCCGGCUCUUCGGAGCUGGUGAUUAGUGGCGAACGGGUGAGUAACACGUGGGUGACCUGCCCUGCACUCUGGGAUAAGCCCGGGAAACUGGGUCUAAUACUGGAUACGACCAGUGGCCGCAUGGUCUGCUGGUGGAAAGCCCUUCGGGGUGGUGUGGGAUGGGCCCGCGGCCUCUCAGCUUGUUGGUGGGGUGAUGGCCUACCAAGGCGACGACGGGUAGCCGGCCUGAGAGGGUGUCCGGCCACACUGGGACUGAGACACGGCCCAGACUCCUACGGGAGGCAGCAGUGGGGAAUCUUGCACAAUGGGCGAAAGCCUGAUGCAGCGACGCCGCGUGAGGGAUGACGGCCUUCGGGUUGUAAACCUCUUUCGGCAGGGAACAAGCCUGGGGGUUUUCUUCUGGGUGAGGGUACCUGCGGAAGAAGCACCGGCUAACUACGUG